UCAACUAGGUUCUAUCGAGUGUGGGUACUAUUUGUAAAAUUAUAUACGAGAAAUAGUGCGGAACCCUAAUACUCCCAUAACUGAACUUUUUAAUACAAAAAAUGCCUACAAACAAGAAGAAAUCGACSAAGUUCGAAUAGAAUGGACAUCAUUUGUUGGACGAUUUGUGUAGUACCUAUGGAUUCAUUACUUUUGUUUAUUUGAUGUAAGUAUUUUGUUCGGGUUA